rnacentral:lncRNA from 1 species
UCUAUUAGUCUACCUUCUAUUCUUUUUUAAAAUUUUAAUUUGAUGUAAUUUUUACUAGAGUAUAGUUGAUUUACAUUGUUCUGUCAGUUUCUGCUCUUCUUGGAUAUAGUUCCCUGUGCUGUACAGUAGGACCUUAUUCAUUCUAAAUGUAACAGUUUUCAUCUACCAACCCCAAAUUUCCCAUCCACCCAUUUCCUCCCCUCUCUCUUGGCAACCACAAGUGUGUUUUCUAUGUCUGUGAGUUUGUUUCUGUUUUGUAGAUAGGUUCAUUUGUGUCAUAUUUUCUACUUUCCAUUCUUAUUUAAAACUGUACAAACAUUUGUUGGCUCAAGAAGGAAAAUGUGUCCUUCCUAAAGUUUUAUAGCAGAGGCAUUUUUGCUUAUUACUUAUUGAAACUGCCCCAACUCAGAUUGGGACUUGAACCCAGGGGUUGGAACUUGAACACACUUUCUUUUAAUUGAAAUCUCAGGACUUAAUGAAGCUCAUGUUCUUUAUGUCUCAGCACAGGAGGAAUUCAGUGAGAGAAGAAGUGAUAGGUAAGAAGUGGAUUUAUUUAAAGAUACACCCUCCGUAGACAGACUACAGUCCAUCUCAGUAGGCUUGAGAGUGACCCCAAAAUAUGGGGUGCUUAGUUUUUAUGGGCUGGGUAAUUUCAUAGGCUAAUGAGUGGGAGUAGGAUUCCAACUAUUUCAUGGGAAGGGGCAGGGAAUUUCAAAGAAUUGGGCCACUGCCUACUUUUUGUCAUCUUAUGGGUUGUCCUUGGAACAGUCAUGGCACCUGUGGAUGUAUCUCUUAGAUACUAAUGUAUUGCAUUUCUUUUUCUUUCUUUCUUUCUUUCUUUCUUUCUUUCUUUCUUUCUUUCUUUCUUUCUUUUUUUUGGUCUUUUUGCCUUUUCUAGGGCCACUCCCAUGGCAUAUGAGGCUCCCAGGCUAGGAGUCUAAUUGGAGCUGUAGCUGCCAGCCUACACCAGAGCCACAGCCAUGUGGGAUCCAAGCCGCAUCUGUGACCUACACCACAGCUCAUGGCAAUGCUGGAUCCUUAACCCGCUGAGCAAGGCCAGGGAUAGAACCUGCAACCUAAUGAUUCCUAGUCAGAUUCGUUAACCACUGAGCCACAACAAGAACUCCAUGUAUUGCAUUUCUAAUGUAUAAUGAGGCUCAAGGUCUACUAGAAGUUGAAUUUUUUUGACAUCUCGGGCCUUGUGGGUUCCAACCAGUUUAUGUCCUAUCCAAAAUGGCUAGGUCAAUCUUUUAAAGGUUGUGUCCUGCCCCAACCCUUACUCACUGAGAAUCCAGCUCCCCUCACUGAGAAUCUUGUGCAAAGUCAGAGCCAGUCCACUGAUCUCCCUUCUUUCAAGAUUAGAUGAGGUUAGGCCUGCCAGAUUAAAUACAGGAUUCCCAGUAAAAUUUGAAUUUCUGAUAAUCAGAUUAUUUUUUAGUGUAAGGCUCUCCAGUGCAAUGUGUGAGACAUCCUUGUAUUGUUAUUUGCGAUGUCUCACAUCCUUAGAUAAGAUUCUGGCUACAAGAAACAUGUCCUGAGAGAGUGUCUCUGACAUUCAUUGUAUCUUCCCUUUUUACCAUCAAAUGGGAGACAUCCAGAGGUGAAUGAUAAUUUCCUUAAAUUCAUAUGGCAUGGCACAAAAGUCAUUUGGGAGUGGCUCCAUUUUUUAGUGGAAAUGUUUCUAGCCAUUAAAUCAUAACUUUAAAGCUAAGGAAACCUUAGUUCCCAUCCCACCUUUACUAAGAACUGGGUGUGAGAUUUUGAGCUAAUCAUUUACCUUAUUGCAUAGCUCUAGAACACACAUCCUUAUAAGACAUAAGAAUUUUUUAAAAAAUAGCCCCAGGAAAGAAAAAAUGCUGCCAAUUAAACAAUGGCACAAUGCGAAAAUACCAUUAUUUAUAAGAUGUAUCUUUAUUUCAGAGAUAUUAAAAUGUGGGGGGAAAUGAGUAUCUUAGAAUGGAUAAAAUAUGGUAUUUGGACUUGCGUAUUUACAUGAUGAGAAUAACUGUCAUUUGCCCUACUGAAUACACAGAAGACAUUAAUAAUCAGAUCUUAUUUCUCUAUCUAGCUUUGAAUUGCAUGAUAGGGAAUUUUAACUUCCAAGGUAGAAUGUUUUCCAAUGACUGCACUUGUCAAAGUAGCAUAAAAGGAGGUUAAGUUUUCUUACAGUCUUUUUAGGACAAAUACUGUAUGACUUUACUCAUAUGAAGUACCUAAAAUAGUCAAAAUCAUAGAAACAGAAAGUAGAAAGGUGAUUUUCAUGAGCUGGUGGAGGGAGAUGGGAUAAUUAUUAUUUAGUGGGUAUAGAUAGAAUUUCAGUGUUGCAAUAUGAAGGAAAAAGUUCUAAAAAUCUAUUGCACGGAAGUGUGAAUAUCUUUAAUUCUACCAAACCGUAUACUUAUAAAUGGUUAAGAUGGUAAAUUUAGUGUUGUGUGUGUUUUACCACAAUGACAAAAUUUCUAUAGACUUUUUUCUUUUUCUUUUUUUGGCUGAGCCUGUUGCAUGUGGAAUUUCUUGAGCCGGAGAUCAAAUCUGUGCCACAGCAGCAACCCAAACUGCUGCUGUGACAACACUGGAUCCUUAUCCUACUGCACCACAAGGGAACUCUGUUAUAGCCUUUUUUAAAAGGUUCUUUCCUGUGUGGGUCAAAACUAAGUCCUUCUUGGGAAUUCCUGUCAUGGCCCAAUGGUUAACGAAUCUGACUAGCAUCCAUGAGGACAUAGGUUUGAUCCCUAGCCUUGCUCAGUGGGUUAAGGAUCCGGGGUUGCUGUGAGCCCUGGUGCAGUUUAGAGACGUGGCUUGGAUUUGGUGUUGCUGUGGCUGUACCUUGCCUGGGAACCUCCAUAUGCCACAGGUGCGGCCCUAAAAAGUGGAAAAAAAAAAAACAAAAAAAA